rnacentral:rRNA from 1 species
GAGAGAGUUCAUAGUACGUGAACCGUUUAGGGGUAAACCUGAGAAACCCGAAAGUUCGAACGGGGAGAUUCAGCGUGUCUCGGCUGGCGCGAGUUGCUCCUGGAUGACAAAUGUCGCUUGCGGCAGAUGCUCCUUGGGCCUCCGACGUUUGACGAACGCGUGCACUUCUCCUCCAGUAGGACGUCGCGACCCGUUGUGUGUCGGUCUGAGGCUUGCAGUGGAGCCCGUACGUCGGUUUCGGCCGUGCGUGCGGACCUGUGAUGUCCCGGCCUUCGCUUGACGGUAGAAUAAUGGCGCAGAGCCGCGAUUUGCUCGCGUUCGGCCUGGUGCAAGCGCAAUCGGUUACCCGUUCGUCGGACUUGUCCGACCUCGGGGCCUGUUGGCUGUUGGCGCCAGUGUCCCCGAACAGACUCUGAUCACGCCUGUCUGCGGCGCUAUAGCUUUGGGUACUUUCAGGACCCGUCUUGAAACACGGACCAAGGAGUCUAGCAUGUGCGCGAGUCAUUGGGACUUAUGAAUCCUAAAGGCGCAAUGAAAGUGAAUGUGAGCUUCGUGCUCUCAAAGGGAAGAUGGGUGACGCAAGUCGCCUCGCACUCCCAGGGCGUCUCGUUCUCAUUGCGAGAUGAGGCGCACCCAGAGCGUACACGCUGGGACCCGAAA